rnacentral:rRNA from 1 species
UACGAGGGGGGCGAGCGUUGUUCGGAAUUAUUGGGCGUAAAGGGUGCGUAGGCGGUUUGGUAAGUCUUGUGUGAAAUCUCUGGGCUCAACUCAGAGUCUGCACGAGAAACUGCCGGGCUUGAGUGUGGGAGAGGUGAGUGGAAUUCCGUGGUGGAGCGGUGAAAUGCGCAGAUAUCAGGAGGAACACCCGUAGCGAAGGCGGCACUCUGGGCCGAUUCUGACACUGAGGAGCGAAAGCGUGGGGAGCGAACAGGA